AUUGAACGCUGGCGGCAGGCCUAACACAUGCAAGUCGAACGAGUGGCGGACGGGUGAGUAAUGUCUGGGAAACUGCCUGAUGGAGGGGGAUAACUACUGGAAACGGUAGCUAAUACCGCAUACCAUCAGAUGUGCCCAGAUGGGAUUAGCUAGUUGGUGGGGUAACGGCUCACCAAGGCGACGAUCCCUAGCUGGUCUGAGAGGAUAACCGGCAACACUGGAACGGAGCCACGGUCCAGCCCCCUACGGGAGGCAGCAGUGGGGAAUAUUGCACAAGGGGCGCAAGCCUGAUGCAGCCAGGCCGGGUGUAUGAAGAAGGCCUUCGGUUGGUAAAGUACUUUCAGCGGGGAGGCGUUACCCGCAGAAGAGGCACCGGCUAACUCCGUGCCAGCAGCCGCGGUAAUA
rnacentral:rRNA from 1 species